CCCUGUAUCGAAAGUGAUUAUGGUAUGUGAGUUACCAGAUCAUUGAUUAUGCAGGAAGAGUAAGCUGAAAGUCUUUCCCGUGUUUUCUGGAUCCCAUGUUCCAUGCAAACCCUGUAUCUUUCAGACA